rnacentral:rRNA from 1 species
UACGUAGGGUGCAAGCGUUAAUCGGAAUUACUGGGCGUAAAGCGUGCGCAGGCGGCUUUGCAAGACAGAUGUGAAAUCCCCGGGCUCAACCUGGGAACUGCAUUUGUGACUGCAAGGCUAGAGUACGGUAGAGGGGGAUGGAAUUCCGCGUGUAGCAGUGAAAUGCGUAGAUAUGCGGAGGAACACCGAUGGCGAAGGCAGCUUACUACAGGAACAUUGACACUGAGGCACGAAAGCGUGGGGAUCAAACAGG